AUUGAACGCUGGCGGCAGGCCUAACACAUGCAAGUCGAGCGAGGGGCGGACGGGUGAGUAAUACCUGGCAAUUGCCCAGUCGAGGGUGAUAAAAGUUGGAAACGACUCCUAAUACUGCAUACGAUUCUAUUGCCCAGGUGGGAUUAGCUAGUUGGUGGGGUAAUGGCUCACCAAGGCGACGAUCCCUAGCUGGUCUGAGAGGAUGAUCAGCCACACUGGAACUGAGACACGGUCCAGACUCCUACGGGAGGCAGCAGUGGGGAAUAUUGGACAAUGGGGGAAACCCUGAUGCAGCCAUGCCGCGUGUGUGAAGAAGGCCUUCGGGUUGUAAAGCACUUUCAGCGAGGAGGCGUUACUAGCAGAAGAAGCACCGGCUAACUCCGUGCCAGCAGCCGCGGUAAUUC
rnacentral:rRNA from 1 species